rnacentral:rRNA from 1 species
UACGUAGGGGGCAAGCGUUGUCCGGAUUUAUUGGGUUUAAAGGGUGCGUAGGCGGCCUGUUAAGUCAGGGGUGAAAGACGGUAGCUCAACUAUCGCAGUGCCCUUGAUACUGAUGGGCUUGAAUGGACUAGAGGUAGGCGGAAUGAGACAAGUAGCGGUGAAAUGCAUAGAUAUGUCUCAGAACACCGAUUGCGAAGGCAGCUUACUAUGGUCUUAUUGACGCUGAGGCACGAAAGCGUGGGGAUCAAACAGG